GUAUUACUCCCUCCGUCCGUAAAUAUUUGUCAUCAAAAUGGAUAAAAAAGGAUGUGUCUAGAACUAAAAUAGUCUAGAUACAUCCCCUUUUAUCCAUUUUGGUGACAAAUAUUUCCGGACGGAGGGAGUACUUU
rfam:Triticum aestivum genome assembly, contig: Triticum_aestivum_CS42_TGACv1_scaffold_129584_2BL